rnacentral:hammerhead_ribozyme from 1 species
GCAUAGAUGACGAGUCCCAUUCAGGACGAAACAGCUGUCCUGUGC